ensembl:lncRNA
AAACAAUUAGGUCUGAGAGACUUCCUUAGCAAUCUACAAUGCCUUCCUCCUCUACACCGAGGCAGUGCUUGCGCAGUUUUGAGAGAGGGUCCUGCGGAAAGCCCAGGCCAGUUCUCGCGGCCUCUGGGCUGGACCAGGCUCUGCUCUGAGCGCGCUGCUCGGCGGCCCCGCGGGCGAGCCUACCGCUUCCCACGGCGACUCGGGCUCCAGCGCCAGGCGCUGGCGCGGACCCGCUUCCGUUCCGGGAGAGCGAGGGGCCCGAAACUUCACCUUCGCCCUGGACCUCAGAACACCGACCCGAGGCCGAAGCAAAGGUGUGGUUCAAGCCGGACAGAAAGGACGGCGCUGCUCCUCCCGGCCGGGGACCUGCGCGUUGCGGCCCCGCGGGAUGCGGUGGCCCCUGGGCCGCGCGCUGAGCUUCCCCGCACUCGGGCCGCGCGCCUCCGGUCCUCGGGGUCCGGCCCGGAGGCCUGAGCUCGCGCCCCAAGCCCUGGCCGGGAAGAUGCCAUCCCGGCCCGCGGCGACCCGAGCCCGAGGCGGGAGCCAGACGGCGCCGCCGGACUCGGGCGAGGGGUAAGGCCGGGCUGGGACCCCAUUUAGGGAAACGGCCUGCUCCAGAGGAAGUCCCCAAGUGUCAAGUGGCCCCGGGAAGGCUCCGCGGGGUUGCGGGGACUCCACAGUGCAGUUCGGUCCCGCGAGUGUCUCUCCAGCCCUCGCCUUCUCCCCUCCACUCCCCUCUCCACAGCCCCCGCCCCGCGCCAGUCCCGGGCGGCGGAGGCGAAGCCCACCGAGCCUAGAGAGAGCGAAGCCGCCCCCUGCUGGCCAGAUGAGGCAGGCGCGGCCAACAGCUCCGCUCCCCUCCGUCCCGCCGGCGCGCCUGCCCGGACCCAGCGCGACCCUCCUGUGCCCCCAGCGAGGGGGACGUGUUCAAAGAAACAGAAAACAAAACAAAAACAAACCAAGGGCCAAAACCACUCUCACCUCGUUUGCUGCUCAAAGUGAUCAGAGAACAAAGGAAUCCUUGAAGAAAGUGAGACUCAAAGCAUCGCAGGAUAUAUGAUUUCUGAUUCUUUGUUCAGAAAACAAGGGCAUCCAUGCCAGCCAGUGCUUCGAUGGUGAGAAAAUUACUCUGCUUCAUGAAGAAUAAUUUCCUUCCUCAUUUAGGACAUGGUCUGAAAGAAUAGAAGAUGGUGGUCAUUCUUCAACAGUUUGACAGCCUACACUGCUUCAGAUGAUCAAAAGCCUGCUUCUGAGAUGAGUUGGCAAUGACAUGUUUAAAAGACCCAUUUUAACAGAAAAAGUUGCUAAGCCAACUUAUUGUGCAAAAUAGCAUGGAAGCCCCAAUGUUUUUGGAGGAAAUUCUUCAGGGAAUGUUUUUCAAAAAUGAAAUGCAUUGCUUUCCUCACAAAACUAAGAGGAAAAAGAAGUAUAGACACUCUCUAGAGGGCUGUUUGGCUGGAAUUAUGCAGUGCCUCACUACUGGGUCAGCUAAAAUGUUAUAGGCUGACAGUACUUCCUUAAUGGAAAACCAAAAAGCUGUUAAGAGGCCAGGGAUCUUGAAGUUUUAUGAUUGGGUGAUUAGCAAUGAAAUAACUAUUAGAAGUACAAAUGUAUUACAGAAAUGUUCUUGUGAAAGCAGUUUACAAUGGUGAUGCUACUACAUGUGUAUUCUGGAGUGUAAUAAUUAUGUUAAUGAAGAGUGAAUGGUUAGAGCUAGGUAUCUCACUGUCAGAGCACAGGUAAGUAAGCUGCAAUAAUGGUACAUGAGGUAGUAAAUUAGAGACGGUGAUAUUAACAUAAAUCCAUGUUAUAUUAAUAUAGACCCAGAUGAAGACAAGUAGAAAUUAUUUGCAGCCAGAUACAUUAUAGAUAUGUGUUUAUGCAUAGGUUAGAUUACAAUUUAUUUGCCUUCUCUGUCCACUGAGAAGUCCUAGAAGUAAUAAUAUCGAGUAACAAUUAGCACACCUAGCACCAUCUUAAUCUCUACUAACAUUUGCCAAUAAAAUUAAUCAGGG